UACGGAGGGGGCAAGCGUUGUUCGGAAUUACUGGGCGUAAAGGGCGCGCAGGCGGCUGCUCAAGUCAGGCGUGAAAGGCCUGGGCUCAACCCGGGAAUUGCGCUUGAGACUGGGCUGGCUUGAGUGCGGGAGAGGAUGGUGGAAUUCCCAGUGUAGAGGUGAAAUUCGUAGAUAUUGGGAAGAACACCGGUGGCGAAGGCGGCCAUCUGGACCGCAACUGACGCUGAGGCGCGAAAGCGUGGAGAGCAAACAGG
rnacentral:rRNA from 1 species